UAUUAAUUAUCAAUUGAUUAGUGUCGAAACGUUAUAUUACUUUACUUUUACUGUUAUAUUACUUUACACCGAUCCAUCAAGAACCUCUAUGAUAACAACGUUAAAUAUAAAUCAAGCGAUCACAUUAAUCACAUAUAUUUUUAUUCAGAAAUAUAGAAAUUUCGUUAUAGAAAUCAACGAGAUAAUGCGAUAGAUGUUACUUGUUGACGAAACGUAAGAUGAGUAUAAUUGACGGAAGUCUUAUAGCUGUCGCACUUCCGGAACUGGGUAAUCCGAAUCCGGGUCAUGCGAGAUGGCGAAGAAUUCAUCGUCAAGUGAAUCCACGUUGCAAAUGCAUGUGAGGCAACGCGGGAAUCGCGUAGGCAGGACGAACGGAGGGAGCGAGAUAGCGAGGAUGUGGAAGAGAGAGCGAAGAGAGUCGGCGGAGUAGAGACCUGGGAAGAUAGAGGAGCCGGUGGGAGGAUGGCGGUUAGAAUUUAUGGCCGCUUUAUCACUUUACCGGCCUUGCCGCGUCUCCUUUAGCCCGUGAGGAGGGCAGGAUCUCACGAUGAACUUUGGCACUCGACUACGCUGCACUCGACGAGCGAUUCAAUUAUCUAUCAAAUAUAUUAUUGACUUCAAUAGAAUCGGUUGGUCAAUAGAAUCCACGAAAUGGAUAUUCUUUCAUCGCAUUAUAUACAACAAUAAAUGUGAAUAAUGAAGAUCUGAUGAGCGACACCAGAGAUGCGAUCUGACGUCUGCGACAAACUGAUUUGCGAUUUACCAAGUGACAACAGUUUACAAAUUAAUGAAGAAACAAAAUUUAAAAAUGAAGAUAUAAAAUUAAA